CGACAGCCCACCGCCGAUUGGACGAAGCCACCAACCAAUCACGCUCCGCACAGAUCUCGCGGUCAGGUAACCAAUCAGAGGCCGGUUGCAAGAUUGAGAGGGCGGGAGUAAGAAUUGGCUAAAGACGCAAGGAGGAGCACCGGGCGAUUCCCCCCCACACCCCCAAGCGCUACGGAGAAGGGCGGAGCCGAGUCGUUGCAGUGCAGUGCGGACCCGAACGAGCCCCUGCGACCUCUCAGUGAACUGCUCUGGUGUGGCUGUUGGGAUUAACAAGCUAACCCACGGCAGAUGCCAGGAGCUGUGUAUGGAAAGCAGAAAACUAUGCACCCAUCAAAUUAUGACUGGAGAGUAAGACUCCACCUGACGGCAGCCUUGAAAAGAGGAAGAAGUAAUGAAGUAUCUGCCUGCUUGCUCUCACUCUCCUUGCCUGGUCCAUCUGCCCUCCUGCUGAG